GUGCUCGCUUCGGCAGCACAUAUACUAAAAUUGGAACAAUACAGAUUAGCAUGGCCCCUGCGCAAGUAUGACCCACAAAGUUGUGAAGCGUUCCAUAUUUCU